rnacentral:tRNA from 1 species
ACAUUGGUGGUUCAGUGGUAGAAUUCUCACCUUCCAUGCAGGAGACUUGGUUUCUAUUCCUGGCCAAUGUA